rnacentral:rRNA from 1 species
AACGAACGCUGGCGGCGUGGCUAAGGCAUGCAAGUCGUACGGUUUCGUUGCUGGGGUAACCCGGCUUCGAGAUAGUGGCGAAAGGGACAGUACAAAAUAGGUAACGUACCCCGAACACAGGGAUAACCUGUCGAAAGGCGGGGUAAUACCUGAUGAAACUCCAGAAGGUAUCUUCGGGAGUCAAAGGGUGGGGACCGCAAGGCCUGUCGGUUUGGGAGCGACCUAUUUCCUAUCAGUUAGUUGGUGGGGUAAAGGCCUACCAAGACGAUGACGGGUAGCCGGCCUGAGAGGGUGUUCGGCGUCACUGGGACUGAGACACUGCCCAGAGCCCUACGGGGUGCAGCAGCCGCGAAUCAUCCGCAAUGCGCGCAAGCGUGACGGUGCGACGCCGCGUGCGGGAUUAAGCCCUUCGGGGUGUAAACCGCUUUUCGGAGGUAUGAAGCGACCGGGGUGAACAGCCUCGGAAGUUGACGUCAACUCUGGAAUAAGUCACGGCUAACUCUGUGCCAGCAGCCGCGGUAAGACAGAGGUGGCAAGCGUUGUUCGGAAUUACUGGGCUUAAAGGGCGCGUAGGCGGUCCGGAAAGUCAGGAGUGAAAUCCCUCGGCUCAACCGAGGAACUGCUUUUGAUACUAUCGGACUUGAGCGGUUCAGGGGCGAGUGGAACUCUGGGUGGAGCGGUGAAAUGCGUAGAUAUCCAGAGGAACGCCGGAGGUGAAGACGGCUCGCUGGGGACCUGCUGACGCUGAGGCGCGAAAGUUAGGGUAGCGAACGGGAUUAGAUACCCCGGUAGUCCUAACCGUAAACGAUGUGCACUAGGCAUUGGGAGUUCUGACGCCUUCAGUGCCGUAGCGAAAGCGAUAAGUGCACCGCCUGGGGAGUACGGUCGCAAGGCUAAAACUCAAAGGAAUUGACGGGGGCUCACACAAGCGGUGGAGCAUGUGGCUCAAUUCGAAGCAACGCGCAGAACCUUAUCCUGGGCUUGACAUGCAGGAAGUAGGGAGCUGAAAGGCCGACCACCAGUAUCCAGUCUGGAACCUGCACAGGUGCUGCAUGGCUGUCGUCAGCUCGUGCUGUGAGGUGUCGGGUUAAGUCCCAUAACGAGCGGAACCCUUGUCGUUAGUUGCCAGCGCGUAAUGGCGGGAACUCUAACGAGACUGCCGGUGUUAAACCGGAGGAAGGUGGGGACGACGUCAAGUCAUCAUGGCCUUUAUGCCCAGGGCUGCACACGUGCUACAAUGGCGGGUACAACGGGUCGCGAAGCCGCGAGGCGGAGCAAAUCCCUUAAAACUCGCCCCAGUUCGGAUUGCAGGCUGCAACUCGCCUGCAUGAAGUUGGAAUCGCUAGUAAUCGCGGAUCAGCUACGCCGCGGUGAAUGUGUUCCUGAGCCUUGUACACACCGCCCGUCAAGCCACGGAAGCCGGGGGCACCCGAAGUCGUUUGCCUAACCCUUACGGGAGGGCGGCGCCGACGGUGAACCUGGUGACUGGGACU